rnacentral:rRNA from 1 species
GACGAACGCUGGCGGCGUGCUUAACACAUGCAAGUCGAACGGAAAGGCCUCUUUCGGGGGUUACUCGAGUGGCGAACGGGUGGGUAACACGUAAGUAACCUGCCCUUGACUUUGGGUUAACUUAAGGAAACUGGGGCUAAUACCGAAUAGGAGCUCCUGCGGCAUGGUGGGGGUUGGAAUGUUUCGCCGGUUGGGGAUGAACUCGCGGCGGAUCCGCGAGUUGGUGGGGUAGUGGCGUACCAAGGCUUUGACGGAUAGCCGGCGUGUAGGGGUGUCCGGCCACACUGGACGUGAGGCGCGGUCCAGAGUCCGAGGGGAGGCCGCGGUAGGGAAUCUUGCGCAAUGGGCGGAAGCCUGACGGAGCAGCGCCGCGUGAGUGAUGAAGGUCUUCGGAUGGGAAAACGCUGUUAGUAGGGAAGAACAUAUGUGUAAGUAACUGUGCACAUCGUGACGGUACCUAAUCAGAAAGCCACGGCUAACUACGUG